rnacentral:sRNA from 1 species
GGGUAUGAGAGCUACUUGGUGGCAGUGCCUGUUACCCCAUUGUUCCCUUCCUCCAUCACUGUUCCUGAGGCUGUGCACAUGGCUGAGGAGGCCAACUUCCACAACAGAGGUCAGUGCUUUGGCUAAGGAUAAAUAAGAAGCCCUAUCUAUGCUCCUGCUGGAAUCUUCAGAUGCGCUUGCAAGAUUCCGGAGGUUGAGUUUGUAACCUGUUCCGUGUACCUCGGGCUGACGGUGCUUUAGAUUUUAGACUCUGGAAUAUUUACAUACGUGUAAUGAAAUCU